rnacentral:rRNA from 1 species
AUUGAACGCUGGCGGAAUGCUUUACACAUGCAAGUCGAACGGCAGCACGGGUGCUUGCACCUGGUGGCGAGUGGCGAACGGGUGAGUAAUACAUCGGAAGGUACCCUGACGUGGGGGACAACGUAGCGAAAGUUACGCUAAUACCGCAUACGUGCGGAGGGAGAAAGCAGGGGAUCGUAAGACCUUGCGCGGUAGGAGCGGCCGAUGGCGGAUUAGCUAGUUGGUAGGGUAAAGGCCUACCAAGGCGACGAUCCGUAGCGGGUCUGAGAGGACGACCCGCCACACUGGAACUGAGACACGGUCCAGACUCCUACGGGAGGCAGCAGUGGGGAAUUUUGGACAAUGGGCGAAAGCCUGAUCCAGCCAUUCCGCGUGAGUGAAGAAGGCCUUCGGGUUGUAAAGCUCUUUCGGCAGGGAAGAAACGGUUUUGGAUAAUACCCAGAACUAAUGACGGUACCUGAAGAAGAAGCACCGGCUAACUACGUGCCAGCCGCCGCCGUAA